rnacentral:tRNA from 1 species
GGGGCUAUAGCUCAGUGGUAUAGCACCUGCCUGGCAAGCUUGAGGUCCUGAGUUUGAUUCCCAGUACCA